CCCUUAGAUGUUCUGUGCUGCACACGUGCUACACUGGCAGGUUCAGCGAGCUUCAUGCCCUGAUCUGAAAGGAAUGGGAAAUCUUUUCAAAACCUGCCGUGCUUGGGAUAGAUGUUUGCAAUUAUUCAUCUUCAACGAGGAUUGCCUUGUAAGCGCACGUCAUCAGCGUGCAUUGAAUACGACCCUGUAUUCUGUACACACCGCCCGUCGCUCCUACCGAUUGAAGUUUUCGGUGAGUUGACAGGAGGAUUUUUUUGAAACUGGUUCGCCAGUGGAUUUUAGAUCCAAAUGCCAACGAAUCGAUGGCUUUAGAGGAAGGAGAAGUCGUAACA
rnacentral:rRNA from 1 species